UGGGCAGAAGCUAAUGGGCUUUGGCGUCUAGCUGUUAACUAGAAUUGUAUGGGAUCGAGACCCAUCUGUCCAG
rnacentral:tRNA from 1 species